GACGAACGCUGGCGGCGUGCCUAACACAUGCAAGUCGAGCGGAGACAUGGAGGAGCUUGCUCUGAGAUGUUUUAGCGGCGGACGGGUGAGUAACGCGUGAGCAACCUUUCUCUCAGUGGGGAAUAACACACCGAAAGGUGUACUAAUACCGCAUGAGACCACAGUGCCGCAUGGCACAGGGGGUCAAAGAUUUAUUGCUGAGAGGUGGGCUCGCGUCCGAUUAGAUAGUUGGUGAGGUAACGGCUCACCAAGUCGACGAUCGGUAGCCGACCUGAGAGGGUGAUCGGCCACAUUGGGACUGAGACACGGCCCAAACUCCUACGGGAGGCAGCAGUGGGGAAUAUUGGGCAAUGGGCGAAAGCCUGACCCAGCAACGCCGCGUGAAGGAAGAAGGUCUUCGGAUUGUAAACUUCUUUUAAGAGGGACGAUAAUGACGGUACCUCUUGAAUAAGCCACGGCUAACUACGUG
rnacentral:rRNA from 1 species